rnacentral:rRNA from 1 species
AGUGAACGCUGGCGGUAGGCCUAACACAUGCAAGUCGAACGGCAGCACAGUAAGAGCUUGCUCUUACGGGUGGCGAGUGGCGGACGGGUGAGGAAUACAUCGGAAUCUACUUUUUCGUGGGGGAUAACGUAGGGAAACUUACGCUAAUACCGCAUACGACCUACGGGUGAAAGCAGGGGAUCUUCGGACCUUGCGCGAUUGAAUGAGCCGAUGUCGGAUUAGCUAGUUGGCGGGGUAAAGGCCCACCAAGGCGACGAUCCGUAGCUGGUCUGAGAGGAUGAUCAGCCACACUGGAACUGAGACACGGUCCAGACUCCUACGGGAGGCAGCAGUGGGGAAUAUUGGACAAUGGGCGCAAGCCUGAUCCAGCCAUACCGCGUGGGUGAAGAAGGCCUUCGGGUUGUAAAGCCCUUUUGUUGGGAGAGAAAAGCAGCAGGUUAAUACCCCGCUGUUCUGACGGUACCCAAAGAAUAAGCACCGGCUAACUUCGU